UGGGGAAUUUUGGACAAUGGGGGCAACCCUGAUCCAGCAAUGCCGCGUGUGUGAAGAAGGCCUUCGGGUUGUAAAGCACUUUUGUCCGGAAAGAAAACGUCGUGGUUAAUACCCGUGGCGGCUGACGGUACCGGAAGAAUAAGCACCGGCUAACUACGUGCCAGCAGCCGCGGUAAUACGUAGGGUGCAAGCGUUAAUCGGAAUUACUGGGCGUAAAGCGUGCGCAGGCGGUCCGCUAAGACAGAUGUGAAAUCCCCGGGCUUAACCUGGGAACUGCAUUUGUGACUGGCGGGCUAGAGUAUGGCAGAGGGGGGUAGAAUUCCACGUGUAGCAGUGAAAUGCGUAGAGAUGUGGAGGAAUACCGAUGGCGAAGGCAGCCCCCUGGGCCAAUACUGACGCUCAUGCACGAAAGGCGUGGGGGAGCAAACAGGAUUAGAUACCCUGGUAGUCCACGCCCU
rnacentral:rRNA from 1 species